GGGCUAUAGCUCAGCUGGGAGAGCGCCUGCUUUGCAAGCAGGAGGUCGUCGGUUCGAUCCCGUCUAGCUCC
rnacentral:tRNA from 1 species